GAUGAACGCUGGCGGCGUGCUUAACACAUGCAAGUCGAACGGAAAGGCUCCUGCUUGCAGGGGUACUCGAGUGGCGAACGGGUGAGUAACACGUGGGUGAUCUGCCCUGCACUUCGGGAUAAGCCUGGGAAACUGGGUCUAAUACCGGAUAGGACGAUGGUUUGGAUGCCAUUGUGGAAAGUUUUUCGGUGUGGGAUGAGCUCGCGGCCUAUCAGCUUGUUGGUGGGGUAAUGGCAAACCAAGGGGUCGACGGGUAGCCGGCCUGAGAGGGUGUAAGGCCACAUUGGGACUGGGAUACGGCCCAGACUCCUACGGGAGGCAGGAGUGGGGAAUAUUGCACAAUGGGCGGAAGCCGGAUGCAGGGACGCCGCGUGGGGGAGGACGGCCUUCGGGUUGUAAGCUCCUUUCGCUAGGGACGAAGCGCAAGUGACGGUACCUGAGGAAGAAGCACCGGCUAACUACGG
rnacentral:rRNA from 1 species